GCUCUCUAUUAUAGCAGGUCGAGGGGAACUCUGCGUCAUGCAGAGGUACCCGCGCAGGACUUGUUUUUUGAAGUCCAGAGGUGCCUGCAACGCGGACGACACCGUGUGCGGUGUAUCAUUCCACCGUUUCCCUCUAGACGUUGCCAGUGCUGAAGCUACGUGAACAUCUGUCUGGGGACCUGAGCUCCCACAUUAAGGAAACUGAUGUAGAGCAUGGCUUGCUUUUUGCGGCGUGCAACUCCA